UAAUAGUGUAUAUUAAAGUUGUUGCAGUUAAAAAGCUCGUAGUUGAAUGUUGGUGUCGAACGAGCGGUCAGCUUCGGCUGUACUGCUCUCUCGACUCCUUCCUUCUGUGGACUACGUCGCACUUUACUGUGUGGCGCUAGGACGCAGAUCGUUUACUGUGAAAAAAUUAGAGUGUUCAAAGCAGGCCGUACGCUUGAAUACAUUAGCAUGGAAUAAUGGAAUAGGACGUCGGGCCUAUUUUGUUGGUUCUAGGACCGUCGUAAUGAUUAAUAGGGACAGUUGGGGCCGUUUAUAUUCCGUAGUCAGAGGUGAAAUUCUUGGAUUUACGGAAGAUAAACUACUGCGAAAGCAUUUACCAAGGAUGUUUUCAUUAA
rnacentral:rRNA from 1 species